GGGGGCGUGGUGUAGUGGUCAAACNNAACAUGCGGCCCUGUCAAGGCCGAGACCGCGGGUUCAAAUCCCGUCGCUCCCGCUA
rnacentral:tRNA from 1 species